rnacentral:lncRNA from 1 species
UUCUUUUUAAAAAAUACAUGGUCAAAAUUAGUAAAAAUGUGUUUAAACAUUCACAAAAAAAAUCUUCACUUAUACAUCCAUAAAAUUUCAAAUGUAUGAUUGUUUGCUUUACAUAAUUUAAGUAAUCAUAAGACAGAUCCUAUGCAGAUAAACAAUUUGAUUGUAUACUUAAAUUUCAUACAUAAAAUACAAGUGCUUAAAAAAUACUCAUUUGUUCAACUAUCAAAUUAAAUGACAUCCAAUGGUUUAAAUUGGUAAAACAUAGACUUGUACUUGAAAAGUGAAUACUCAUAAAACAAUUGCUUUGAACCAAUGAUCAGUUUUAAAUUAAAAAAACUUAUCUUGUAUUUCUACAGAUUCUCUUUAAAUUUCUGUUAAGAAUACUAAAUUGUCUAAAUUCAAUUACAUCACAAACAAACAAAAAUUAUUUGUUCAAAUUUUUGGAAUUCCUUCCUACAUUGUUGGAAUCAAUUCUGGAGAAGACAAAGUGAAAAUGUAUGAAAGGUGUAAUGGAGUGUCAUAACAAAAACUUAAAGAUACCAGAUUUAUAAUUUUGUAAGCCAGACACCAUUGUUUUAUCAAUUAUAAAAAAAAUUUCACUAAAUGGUAAAGAUAAUACCUACCUGAUAUCUGAUAUCAGUAAAGUAUAAUUUCAGAACAAUCUUUCACUCUGUGUGUUUCUUCAAGAUGAAAAUAGAUUGUAACAAUGAAGGAAGUUUACAGAAAAAAACUUAAAUUAACUAUCAGUUUAUAAAACUCAAACCACUGUUUUGUCAAAAUAAACACAUCUUUCAGAAAGUCCAUACAGUUAACAUUUGAAACAUCCACACAUUAACUCAAAUUUACAAUAAACAACAUUCAAUUUUUAACAGAAGAAGGCAUAUUGAGCAUUAAAACAUCCAGAUAAUAAUAUGAUGAGAUUAUACUAAAAUAAAUUGUUGAUAUUUGAAUCUUGAAUAAAUUUUGUAUUCAAUUUAACCUUUAAAAAGUAUCUGUGGGUAAUCUGCAUGCAUACCAAAGAGUGUUAACUUUUAUAAAAAAAAAAAAAAAAACAAUCUUAACAUAUAGAUAGAUUGCUUAUAGCUUAUUUUAUCGCACCACUGGUAAAAUAUCAUGUUGUGAUUGGUUUAAUGUCCUCACGUGGUGACCCCUAUGGAUCUGUAGGGGGUUAGUAAAUUUCAUAGGGGGUUCGUGACACAUUAAUGGUGACGUCAUCCAUUAAUGUUGUUGCGUUUCAUUGUUUAUUUUUCAACAAAACGCAGCAGAAAAAGUCCAGCGUGCAAUAAAUUCGUUAUACGGUUAACUACUGACCCCCUAUGGAUUUUACUAACCCUCUAUGGAUCCGUAGGGGGUCAGUAACGAACCAUAUAACUUAUAAUGUAUGCAUUAAUCAGUCGUUAUUCAUAAAUAAAAUAUAUUUAUAGUAACAAUUGGGUAAUACAUAGAGAAUUGAGUUAAUUUUCAAUUAAAUGUAUGGAAUGACUAAUAACCCUACUAUUUAACAUGUCAUGAAUAAUCUAUUUCUACUGGUGAGUAACAUAUUUGAGCCUUGAUUUUUACAUGAGCUAUCAGCCUUAUAAAUUAUUUAUCUGUCACCUAUAAACAAAGUUUGAAAAUUUAUCUUACUCCACAAAUGGCUGUUUUCAGGUAAGUCAAUAUGUUUCAUAUGAAUUUACUUCUGUUGUACAACAAGGUAAAACGAGAAAAAGAAAUAAGACAGUCCCUUCCGAUAAACAAAUACCAAUGAAAAAGUCAGUGACAUAAACCUUGAACCACCCAAGCAUGAAUGACAUAUUUAACCGAUAAAACGUAGAAAAAUUUACAAAAAGCACCAUACAUAAGUUGCAUUUUAAGUCUCAGAAAAAAUUUUGUUGACAAUCUUGAAAAGUAUGUACUUCUCUUAUAUGUAUCUUCAACGGUUUGAAAGGCUGUUUGAUUGGUAUAAUAAAACAUUGAUAAACCUUUGAAGUGAUGAUUGAACAAAAUAGUGAACUGUACAAUAUUAUUUCCCUUUGGAUGCUUCUAAGGUCCAUUUUAAAUCAUUGGUAUGUAAUAUCAUAGGUUCAUCCAUACAUACACAACUAAGGUAGGUACUAUAAACUUAGAUAGGUCAUGCAAACAUUGCAUAACAUUUUAUAAAGUAAACUUUAAACAUAUUGGGUCAUUUGAUGGAAAUAAAUCCAGAUCAAAGCAUAAAUUUGUUUAAGUAACAUUUGACUAGAAUAUUUGAAAGGUAUAUGGUUAUUUGUGAUUAAAUUUUAAAUAAAAAGAGAUUCUACACAAUAAAGAUCAGUGGUAUCUUCAUUGUACUGUUGUUAUUUGUUGCCAAAUUACUGACUAUCUAAUUUUAAAUUCAUGUUUCUUCAUUGAAAAAAAAAUGUAAUUCUGCAAUACCAUAUCUGUGCUAGCCAAGGAUUACAAUCCAGCCGCCUCUUUUUGGGGGCUGGAUUAUGAACCUUGGCUAGCAAAGAUGUCAAUAUAGAAACAUCUCUUAAAAUGAUGACAAAAUACACCCUAUUUGACUUUGUAUAUUGAGACAGAUAUGAAGGGUAGAUAACUAAAAAGUGGGUUAGAGGUAGAAUGACUUUUAGCAAACCUUUUCCUCAGAUUUCUCAUAAAUACUGAACAAUGUUUGAUACUAAAACUAAGACUUUAAACAUAAUAAGGCCUGUUAUGUUCUAAAUUCAACAGUAAGAGUAUAAUUAAUCAUUUUUUAAUACAGGACCAUACACUCAAUCAUUAAAUACAUGGAUUGUUUUACAAAUAAUUUGAAAAGAAAGCAACAAGUUUGGUAUUUUAAUUUGACACUAUCCUUUCCAUUAGUAAAAAAGGUUUAAUUCAGAUAAAACUUGGGUUACAUGUGCCUGAGGUUAAAAUUAAAAUUUAAUUGUCAGUUCUAAGCUUCCCUCACCCCAAAAAGAAUACAAAUAAGCUAAUAUUUCUGGACCACUAGAAGGAUACAUAUAAGCAAAGCUUUCCUCAACUCCAGAAAGAUAUAAGUAAAGUACACUAUAAUCUUCAGCUUAACAAACACACACACUCACAAUCUGAUUUUUUUUUUUUAUACUAAUUACCGUAUAUAACAUAUUCCUCAAUUUAUAUAUCAAAUACAUUGUGUUCAAUUAAAUGUGAAAACAAGUGAGGAUGAUUACAUAUCUGUUCUGAGGUUCAUGAUACUUAGCAAAAUUAUAUCAAAACGUUGAAUUAUAACAAACACUGCUGCUAGAAAUUAUAAUAUUGUCUCUGACAAUCAAAAUAUUUGGACUUUUAUGGUAUUUUUGAAAACCAAUAAUCAUAUGUUUAACAGUCAUAAUUCAAAUUAUUGUUACAUUGCUAUAUUCAACUGAUACCUACAAUUGUAAACCAAUUUACAUUUACUAUUGCAAAUUAAACAAGUAGAAUAUCUGAUUGUUACAACUGAGAUUAAAGCCUCACACUUUUUCAAUAAUAUCCUUUAUUCAAUAAAAUGAUUUGGAACAAUAAAUAUUUCCAUGAAAAAUGAUGCAUGCUAUACAAAAUUUAAGAGCAUAAAAAUCAAAUGAUUUUUUGGAGAUGAAUCUCUGCUUAUCAUAUUGAAGACCUGUUGUGAAUUAUUUGACAGUGAUUAUUGUUCAACUGCCAUCAACACCAAAUUAGUUUAAGAACAUUGAGAGAUAACUUUAGAGCACCACCUACAAUUGAUAUGCACAUGAACAUGAAAAGAUUCUACAAUUCUUUGUUUUAUAAUAGAUCAGAUAAUGGGAACAAGAUUUUUUUAUUUCUGGUUUCUUCUAUGUUGAGAUAUUUGUCAUAUAUCUUUACUAAUGAUGAAGGAUAAUUUCUGGUUUCUUCUACGUUGAGAUAUUUGUCAUAUAUCUUUACUAAUGAUGAAGGAUAAUCUUAUUGACAUAAAUAAUAAUCUUAAACCAGUUAAGAGGUAUCAUUGUAUGAAAAUAACUGAAAUGAUCUUGUUCUUACAAAUUACCCCUUAAAAUCAGGAGGAACAGAUGAUAGGGGAUCCAUGUGAAGACAUCCCUCUUCCACAAAAAGACAAACCAAAAAACCCCAUACACACAAACAAUUAUACAAUAAAUUCAUGUAAAAAAGUAUUGAUCCAAUAAAAUGGUCCGACAUUAUUUUAAUAUACCUAGUAUUAAAAUGUAAAUAUAUACAAAAUCUUCCAUUUAUAUAUUGUUCUUUUCCAUGUAGUCAUUUUGAUAAAACAAUGCUAGAAGAAAUGAGCUAUAAAAUAUAUAUGCCAUGGUCUGCAUGGUUGCAAUUGCUUACAUUUAAUGCAUGUCAGAGAUAAAAGUUUUUUUUAUAAAAUAAUCCACUAGAAAGAUAACGGAACAAAUUGAAAAUUAGUCAUUGGAGCAUGUGUGGGGCUCAUAUACCACAUAAUGGUACUAUUAAAAUGUAGAAAUCUUAUUUUGAACAGAACAUGAUAAAACAAAAUAACAUUAAUUGUGAA